rnacentral:rRNA from 1 species
UACGAAGGGGGCUAGCGUUGCUCGGAAUCACUGGGCGUAAAGGGUGCGUAGGCGGGUCUUUUAAGUCAGGGGUGAAAUCCUGGAGCUCAACUCCAGAACUGCCUUUGAUACUGAAGAUCUUGAGUUCGGGAGAGGUGAGUGGAACUGCGAGUGUAGAGGUGAAAUUCGUAGAUAUUCGCAAGAACACCAGUGGCGAAGGCGGCUCACUGGCCCGGACUACGUGACGCUGAGGCACGAAAGCGUGGGGAGCAAACAGGG